rnacentral:tRNA from 1 species
GCCCUUGUAGUUCAACGGAUAGAACGAAGGUUUCCUAAACCUUAGAUAGCAGUUCGAUUCUGCUCGGGGGUA